UUUUAAGUAGCUCAGAGGGUAGAGCGGUGACCCCGGGUCAUUGGUCGCGGGUUCGAUUCCCGUCUUAAAAACC
rnacentral:tRNA from 1 species